rnacentral:rRNA from 1 species
CGGGAGGCAGCAGUAGGGAAUCUUCGGCAAUGGACGAAAGUCUGACCGAGCAACGCCGCGUGAGUGAAGAAGGUUUUCGGAUCGUAAAACUCUGUUGGUAGAGAAGAACGUUGGUGAGAGUGGAAAGCUCAUCAAGUGACGGUAACUACCCAGAAAGGGACGGCUAACUACGUGCCAGCAGCCGCGGUAAUACGUAGGUCCCGAGCGUUGUCCGGAUUUAUUGGGCGUAAAGCGAGCGCAGGUGGUUUAUUAAGUCUGGUGUAAAAGGCAGUGGCUCAACCAUUGUAUGCAUUGGAAACUGGUAGACUUGAGUGCAGGAGAGGAGAGUGGAAUUCCAUGUGUAGCGGUGAAAUGCGUAGAUAUAUGGAGGAACACCGGUGGCGAAAGCGGCUCUCUGGCCUGUAACUGACACUGAGGCUCGAAAGCGUGGGGAGCAAACAGGAUUAGAUACCCUGGUAGUCCACGCCGUAAACGAUGAGUGCUAGAUGUAGGGAGCUAUAAGUUCUCUGUAUCGCAGCUAACGCAAUAAGCACUUCCGCCUGGGGAGA